GUGGGGAAUUUUGGACAAUGGGCGCAAGCCUGAUCCAGCAAUGCCGAGUGCAGGAAGAAGGCCUUCGGGUUGUAAACUGCUUUUGUACGGAACGAAACGGUCCUGGCUAAUAUCCGGGGCUAAUGACGGUACCGUAAGAAUAAGCACCGGCUAACUACGUGCCAGCAGCCGCGGUAAUACGUAGGGUGCGAGCGUUAAUCGGAAUUACUGGGCGUAAAGCGUGCGCAGGCGGUGCUGUAAGACAGGCGUGAAAUCCCCGGGCUCAACCUGGGAAUUGCGCUUGUGACUGCAGUGCUGGAGUGCGGCAGAGGGGGAUGGAAUUCCGCGUGUAGCAGUGAAAUGCGUAGAUAUGCGGAGGAACACCGAUGGCGAAGGCAAUCCCCUGGGCCUGCACUGACGCUCAUGCACGAAAGCGUGGGGAGCAAACAGGAUUAGAAACCCUAGUAGUCC
rnacentral:rRNA from 1 species